UUUGUUAUCAAGACCAAAAAGAAGGUUUUGGCAAGGCAAGAUAGAAGAGAAAUAGAAUACCUAGUUGAAGAGGUGUUGAAAGAAGACAACAGCAAUAAUCAAUCUCACCUCCUCCUAAAAAAAUUAAAGUAACAUUUCACACAAUCAUCAAGACAACCUAAUGUAUUGGUGUUUUAAAGAUGGUAUUAAACUUAAAAUGAUGUUUUAUUCUAAGAGGUAUAAUAACUCGAGUGGUUUAGUCCUUAGGAGUUAAAAGACGUCAUAUUUUAAAACAUUCAAGCUACUACAACUAUAAGUAGAAAAACUUAUGUAGAAAAGUAUAUCAAAUAAAAAAAAUGUUGCAAAAAAUGUCCCCUUCUUAGACAAAGAACAAAAAGACGUGUAAACUUAGACCUUUCUUUGCCUUGGCUUCAUAGAGUUGAUUAUCAUAGAAACAAACUUAAGUGUCUUUUGAGUGUUCUGGCUUUAAGAUUGCAACAUUCAUAGAAAUCUUACAUUUUCUAGUACAAAUAAGUAUAUAAUAUUAAAUAACAAUGCCAUAUAAACUUAAGCACAACAAUGUAAAAAAGCAACUCAAUCAUAUAAAUUUGGACAAAGUAAGAAUAAUACUUAAACUUUCCAAACUUCUAUAAAACAUACAUGUAGAAGUAGUAAUCCUAGCAAGGUACAUUGAUAAUUAGUCAUCUAGAAUUAAUAAGCAAAAGACCUCAAUGGAGUUUUUUUUUAACAAAAAAUCCAAUAUUUUAAAAUUAUGGACAUUUAGAGCUAAGGUGUUUGAAUUGGUGCCAUUACAACAAAAUUGGAAGUUGGACACAUUUGACAAAAUUAGAUAUCUUAUUGAUUACCAAUCUUAUACAAAAGACUAUUGCAUCUACAUUAACAAUAAGUUGAUUGUCUUUAUUAAUGUUUUUUUUCACAAACAAAGAAAAUUGCUAAUGUCGGCAAAGCUUCCUAUGUAAAACUUGCUACAUUAGAAGAAACCUCCACUAGUGCAUCUAUUGGCAAUGUAAGCAUUGACAACUUUGUCAUAGUUGUAAGCAACAUUGAAGACAAUACUAAGAAUAAAGAAGGCGGUAAUAAAGACACUCACAUCCACAAAUUUCUUCAAUACUCUAAAGAUUGGAUUUAAACAACUUCUAUCUAUAAAAACAACCAAGGAACUAUUAAGAUGUUGAAGAAUUUAGGAAUGCUUAUCUUACUGCCAUUACUUGUAAUUACAGAUUAAUCAUCAUUAUCAAAUGAAUACAAGAAGCCAUAUUACUUGACUUAAAGACUUUAACAAGAGAACAAAUAUGAGAUAUAAUGUAGGGAGCUUUGAAAAAACAAUAAUGUAUGAAGCAUACCUUUUUAAUUUCAUUGGAAUAAGAAUAAGGAGCUUUUCAAAAAUUCAAUUGCUUCUGUGGCAAACUUGCCAAAUUUGAGUGAAUGUUCAACCUAUAUUUUUUGUUUCCUUUUUUUUUUGUUUUAUUCUGUGUGGGGCAAUGGGGUGAGGAAGGCGAUUUGAAGAGAAACAUGCUAAACUCCUUGUGGCCAAAUACAUUUAAUUGUUUUUCGAUAUGUCAAUCAUGUGCCCAUCUAAUUUCUUAUUUUUUUUCCUCUUUUGUUUUCACUUUCCACUACUUCCACAGAACAGGAUGUUCAAUAUGCAACCUUUCAAUGGAAAACAUAUAGGUAUCAUAAAUUUCAAUUCUUGACCAUUCAUAGUGGACUUCCAAUUUAGAAUGUGGAAUAACUCUUCUUUUUUAAAACUGGAAUGUAGGCAUUUUCAAAGAGGUGGAGUACAUAC
rnacentral:lncRNA from 1 species